CCCGGAGCAACAUGGCGGCGUCCGUGAGGGGCUAGCUAUGGGCAAAGAUAGUGUUGGGUGUCGUUUUCUCUUGGGUUAUUGACGGACUGGAGCUUUCCGCGACCGAACGACGAAAGGAAGUGUGAUAAGUGGGUAACUUUAGCGACCGGCCGCCCGCGUUCCUCCUCAAUUAGGAGCCGAGUCCUGGGCACUGACCAGCAUGAGCAAUAUCUACAUUCAGGAGCCUCCCACGAACGGGAAGGUUUUAUUGAAAACUACAGCUGGAGAUAUCGAUAUAGAGUUGUGGUCAAAAGAAGCACCUAAAGCUUGCAGAAAUUUCAUUCAGCUUUGUUUGGAAGCAUAUUAUGACAAGACCAUUUUUCAUAGAGUUGUACCUGGUUUUAUAGUCCAAGGAGGAGAUCCUACUGGCACAGGAACUGGUGGAGAGUCUAUCUAUGGAGCCCCAUUCAAGGAUGAAUUCCACUCACGAUUGCGUUUUAAUCGGCGAGGACUGGUUGCCAUGGCAAAUGCUGGUCCUCAUGAUAAUGGCAGCCAGUUCUUUUUUACACUGGGUCGAGCAGAUGAACUUAACAAUAAGCACACCAUCUUUGGAAAGAUUACAGGGGAUACAAUAUAUAACAUGCUGCGACUGGCAGAAGUAGACACUGAUAAUGAAGAAAGACCACUUAAUCCACACAGAAUAAAAAGUUGUGAGGUUUUGUUUAAUCCUUUUGACGACAUAAUUCCAAGGGAAAUAAAAAAGCUGAAAAAAGAGAAACCAGAGGAGAAAGUAAAGACAUUGAAACCCAAAGGCACAAAAAAUUUUAGUUUGCUUUCAUUUGGAGAGGAAGCUGAGGAAGAAGAGGAGGAAGUAAAUCGAGUUAGUCAGAGCAUGAAGGGGAAAAGCAAAAGUAGUCACGACUUGCUUAAGGAUGAUCCACACCUCAGUUCUGUUCCAGUUGUUGAGAGUGAAAAGGGUGAUGCAGCAGGAGAUUUAGAUGAUGAUGAAGAAUUUGAGGGUGCAGAGAAUGAUGAAAACAUUGAUGGUGAUGAGAAGAACCUGAUGAGAGAAAGAAUUGCAAAAAAGUUAAAAAAGGACCCAAAUGCAAGUGUUAAAUCAGCUGGAGAGGGAGAAGGAGAGAAGAAAUCAGUUAGCCGCAGUGAAGAGCUCAGAAAAGAAGCAAGACAAUUAAAGCGGGAACUCUUAGCAGCAAAACAAAAAAAAGUAGAAAAUGCAACAAAACAAGCAGAAAAAUCAAGUGAAGAAGAAGAGGCUGCUCUAGGUGGUGCUGUUGCAGAAUACAGAAGAGAAAAGCAAAAGUAUGAAGCUCUGAGGAAGCAGCAGCCCAAGAAGGGAACUUCCCGGGAAGACCAGACCCUUGCGCUGCUAAACCAGUUUAAAUCUAAACUCACGCAAGCAAUUGCUGAAACUCCUGAAGACAACGUUUCUGAAAUGGAAGUAGAAGAUGAUGAAGGAUGGAUGUCACAUGUACUUCAGUUUGAGGAUAAAAGCAGAAAAGUGAAAGAUGCGAGCAUGCAGGACUCAGACACCUUUGAAAUCUAUGAUCCCCGGAAUCCAGUGAAUAAAAGAAGAAGGGAAGAAAGCAAAAAGCUGAUGAGAGAGAAAAAGGAAAGAAGAUAGAAGGAGAGGACUGACACCCAGAACAGGAAGCAGAAAGUUUCAAAGAGGAGGAGAGGGACAGGGGAGUAGGACAUGCCAGCCCCCUCAAUGUGGAGUGAUUAAUCUCACAGCCACCAAACAGUAAGCCAGUGUUUAGAAGUGUGUCCUGUCUUCUCAUCACGAAAUUGUAACCUUGGUUAUCACAGUCUUUCUGCUUUGGUCAUAUGUCCAACUCAAGAAAAAAGCAAAUCUCAUAGGAAACAAACCAAAAAAAGGAGGGGGAAGGAAGGCAAGAAAUG